GAUGAACGCUGGCGGCGUGCCUAAUACAUGCAAGUCGAGCGAACAGACGAGGAGCUUGCUCCUCUGACGUUAGCGGCGGACGGGUGAGUAACACGUGGAUACCCUACCUAUAAGACUGGGAUAACUUCGGGAAACCGGAGCUAAUACCGGAUAAUAUCUUGAACCGCAUGGUUCAAUAGUGAAAGACGGUUUUGCUGUCACUUAUAGCUGGAUCCGCGCCGCAUUAGCUAGUUGGUAAGGUAACGGCUUACCAAGGCAACGAUGCGUAGCCGACCUGAGAGGGUGAUCGGCCACACUGGAACUGAGACACGGUCCAGACUCCUACGGGAGGAAGCAGUAGGGAAUCUUCCGCAAUGGGCGAAAGCCUGACGGAGCAACGCCGCGUGAGUGAUGAAGGUCUUCGGAGCGUAAAACUCUGUUAUUAGGGAAGAACAAAUGUGUAAGUAACUAUGCACGUCUUGACGGUACUUAAUCAGAAAGCCACGGCUAACUACGUG
rnacentral:rRNA from 1 species